rnacentral:rRNA from 1 species
AAUCAACGCUGGCGGCGUGCCUCAGACAUGCAAGUCGAACGAUUAAAGCUCCCUUCGGGGAGUGCAUAGAGUGGCGCACGGGUGAGUAACACGUAAGUAAUCUACCUUUGAGUGGGGAAUAACGUUCGGAACGGACGCUAAUACCGCAUAAUGCAGCGGCAUCGCAAGAUGACAGUUGUUAAAGGAGCAAUCCGCUUAAAGAGGAGCUUGCGGCAGAUUAGCUUGUUGGUAAGGUAACGGCUUACCAAGGCUACGAUCUGUAUCCGGUCUAAGAGGACGGUCGGACACACUGACACUGAAUAACGGGUCAGACUCCUACGGGAGGCAGCAGUCGGGAAUUUUGGGCAAUGGGCGAAA